rnacentral:rRNA from 1 species
UACGUAGGGUGCGAGCGUUGUCCGGAAUUAUUGGGCGUAAAGAGCUCGUAGGCGGUCUGUCGCGUCGGUCGUGAAAACUUGGGGCUUAACCCUGAGCUUGCGGUCGAUACGGGCAUGACUGGAGUUCGGCAGGGGAGACUGGAAUUCCUGGUGUAGCGGUGAAAUGCGCAGAUAUCAGGAGGAACACCGGUGGCGAAGGCGCUCUGCUAGGCCGCAACUGACACUGAGGCGCGAAAGCGUGGGGAGCAAACAGG